rnacentral:lncRNA from 1 species
UCCUCUAAGUGUCUAAAAUGUAAUCCAAGUGUUAAAAUACUUUAAUAAAUCAUCCAUCACUCCAAAUUAAAUCAAAUUUGUCAUCAUCUUCAAAACAUUCAACAUGGUGGAACAUGAGAGCAUACAAGAUAAAUCUGAAAAAAAAAAAACCUAAUUACAAACUAAAAAGCCAAAAUAUUAAACUAUGUGUCAAUCAAUACCAAAUUAAUUGACAUUAAGAACACUUUACAGAAUAAUUAACAUCGAUAAUAAUAGAGAUACUUGCAAAAUAAAUCCUAAAAAAAUAUCUAGAGACGAAAUUUUACCAUGAAAAAAGGGACAACAUCUACUAUGUGUCUAGAAUACAACUAAAAGGCCAAAUCAUUAAAUUAUGUCUAGUUUAAUAUCAUGUUUAAUCACAAGCACAUUGAUAAGAAAUAGUGUAGAUUUCAAUAGCAAAUCAAAAUAGAUUUAUUUGACUAAUUUAGAAGUAUGAUAAAAUCAAGAAAAAAAAUGUACAAACCCUCAAUAUAUCUACCUUAUAGGAAAAAUAACAACGUGAUUUAAUCACACAAGAAGUUUUAAAACAAGCCAAACAUCCCUUGACUACAAAAUGGGGUUAGUGCAACAUGUGUAGAAUUUUUUUUUUCUCUCCCUUUGGGGGAAUCGGUUUUCAACAAAACAGGGUCCUAAAAUUAAAUUCAAGAAAUUUGAUUAAGGAAAAAAUAUAAAAAAUAAAAAUAAAAAUUUAAGAGGUUAUCAAAUAAUUUAAUUUUGCAAAACGAGUGUGGGUGUCUAGAACAUAGUGAAAAAUGAGCAUAUUGAAAGAUUGGUUUAUAUCUCUUUAAUGGAAAAUGACUUUGGACUUGAGCAAAAUUCUAUCAACACAUUUGGGAAAUUUAAAACGUCAUACAAUGAUAAGAAAAUUUUAGAAAGACUUUAAAUAACUUGAAUCAAAAUUUUCAUUAUAGAAGUUCAACAAUUCAAACAAAACUACAACAAAGUGAACAAUCUAAACAUCACAAUAAAAAAAAAAGACUGAAAAAAAGAUCAAAGGCAAUAAAAAUCAAAUAGAGGAUUUCUUAGCCACCUAUCAUAUAUUAUCAAUAGACCUCAAUCAAGUGAGAAUAAUUUCAAAGAAAAUAAUCCUAAUAUCAAUUUUAAUAAGCAUCAAUCAACAUGAGAUCAAUAAACCAUUCAUCAAUAUAUCAUCAAUAAUCAAAGUGAUCUUUAUUAUCCUCCCUAAAUCAAGAGAAUUCCUAUACCUAAUCAAGAUGUAAGACAAAAAAGAGAUAGAUUGAGAGAUAAUCACAAUCAAGGUAUGCAAGAAAAUAAAAACAUAUCUCUCCUUCAAAGAUACAAGCUUAUUACUCCUUUCUUGUUUUCCUAUGCUGAGUCUCGCCUUCUUGACCUUCAAGACUUCAACUUUUCUUUUCAAGAUGCUCCAUUUUUUCUUCAAGAUCAAUUUGUGGCAACCUUAAGUCCCUCUCUUAAUGGCCGAGCCGUGGGUGUCUCUUUCUUCCUCCAAAAAGCUUUCAAAACUUCACAUUUUCUCCUAUGCAUGUACGAGUCUCCAAAAAUCUGAUUUGUAGUCCCUUUAUGGCGUGAUCUCAUUCCUCCAAGUCUGUAAUGGCAGCCUACCUCUCCUUAAAAUCUUUAAAUGGUCGUGAUAUUUUCCUUAGGCUAAUCUGACACCUGAAUUUUGUUACAAAAUGUAACCUUUUAUUUUAACUUUCCAUAACUUUAAAAAUCAACUUACUUGGACAUCUGUAGCAACAGUUAAGCCCAAAAUACUAAAGCAUGUUCAACAUAUGAUGGGAAAGUUCACCCGAACCUUGUCACAAAAGUUACUCUUUAAUAAAGAUUGAUUUAGGAAAAUUUGUCAACGGAUGAAGUGUAGCCAUUUCCGUUAGCUGUCAUAGCUUAAAAAACCAACUUAUUUGAAUAUUUGUGGCAAAAGUUAUGUCUAAAAUAUUGAAGCUUGUUCAACAUAUGAUGAAAAAGCUCCCCUACUCUCUCUCAAUCUCCUCAAUUUGUGGAUUCCUCCUUAAUGUGGCAGCCGGGUUAUUUUUUCCUCGAAAAUCCCCAACCAUGAGUUCCAAUCAUCAAGAACUCUUAUGGUAGUCCAACCCUCUAAAAAUUCUCUCCUCCAAUGUCAAUUUCCUUCCAAAUCAAAUAUGGUAGCCCAUAUAUAUCUUCUUUCCUUUGGCGUGAAACUUUAUCCUCAGCCAAUAUGGUAGCCCUCUCAAAUAAAAUCUCCAAUCAUGAGUGAUCUUCCUUUCCCUCAAAGUCUCCAAAAUUUUUCCAAUUUGAUCUCUAACUCCCCAAGGUGUGGACUCCUUCCUCCCUUAUCUAAAAUUUCAAUGUUAACCAUACAUAUCACUUCUCAAAUCAAAUUGUCAUGAUCAUAAAGAAUCUUUCCCUCAAUGGCCAAGUCUCCAACCUUUCCUUCUUUCUUCCAAGUGCGUGAAUUUCUCUAUCCAAAAGUUUUAUGGAAAUCCACCUUCCAUCUAAAGUCUCCUAUCUUUCCUAAAAAAGUCUUGUCAAUCUCAAUCUAAAAAGAGUCCUACACUCAAUUCCAACUCAAUAGCCAUGAUGCUAAUGUGUGA